UAGGGAAUCUUCCGCAAUGGACGAAAGUCUGACGGAGCAACGCCGCGUGAGCGAAGAAGGCCCUUCGGGUCGUAAAGCUCUGUUGUUAGGGAAGAACAAGUACGAGAGUAACUGCUCGUACCUUGACGGUACCUAACCAGAAAGCCACGGCUAACUACGUGCCAGCAGCCGCGGUAAUACGUAGGUGGCAAGCGUUGUCCGGAAUUAUUGGGCGUAAAGCGCGCGCAGGCGGUCCUUUAAGUCUGAUGUGAAAGCCCACGGCUCAACCGUGAGGGUCAUUGGAAACUGGGGGACUUGAGUGCAGAAGAGGAGAGUGGAAUUCCACGUGUAGCGGUGAAAUGCGUAGAGAUGUGGAGGAACACCAGUGGCGAAGGCGACUCUCUGGUCUGGUAACUGACGCUGAGGCGCGAAAGCGUGGGGGAGCAAACAGGAUUAGAUACCCUGGUAGUCCACGCCGUAAACGAUGAGUGCUAAGUGUUAGAGGGUUUCCGCCCUUUAGUGCUG
rnacentral:rRNA from 1 species